CCCGGGAGGGGAGUGAAAUAGAACCUGAAACCGCAUACAUACAAACAGUAGGAGCCCCUGCAGUGGGGUGACUGCGUACCUUUUGCAUAAUGGGUCAGCGACUUACGUUUUGUGGCGAGCUUAACCGAGUAGGGGAGGCGUAGCGAAAGCGAGUUCGAAUAGAGCGAAGAGUCUCAAGGCGUAGACCCGAAACCAGAUGAGCUAUCCAUGGCCAGGUUGAAGGUGUGGUAACACACACUGGAGGACCGAACCGACUAGUGUUGCAAAAUUAGCGGAUGAGCUGUGGAUAGGGGUGAAAGGCUUAACAAAUCUGGAGAUAGCUGGUUCUCCCCGAAAACUAUUGAGGUAGUGCCUCGUGUAUUGCUCCAGGGGGUAGAGCACUGUUAUGGCUAGGGGGACAUGGCGUCUUACCAAACCAUGGCAAACUCCGAAUACUUGGAAGUAAGAGCACGGGAGACAGAGCACCGGGUGCUAACGUCCGGACUCAAGAGGGAAACAACCCAGACCGCCGUUUAAGGUCCCAAAUAUUGACUAAGUGGAAAACGAAGUGUGAAGGCUAAGACAGUCAGGAAGUUGGCUUAGAAGCAGCCAUCCUUCAAAGAAAGCGUAAUAGCUCACUGAUCGAGUCCUCAUGCGCGGAAGAUGUAACGGGGCUAAGUCAAUAACCGAAAGCGCGGAUUUGCAUGAAAGUGCAAGUGGUAGGGGAGCGUUCUGUAAGCCUGCGAAGGUGGUUCGAGAGGACUGCUGGAGGUAUCAGAAGUGCGAAUGCUGACAUGAGUAACGUUAAAGCGGGUGAAAAGCCCGCUCGCCGUAAGCCCAAGGUUUCCUGCUCUACGUUCAUCGGAGCAGGGUGAGUCGGCCCCUAAGGCCAGGCUGAGAAGCGUAGUCGAUGGGAAGCAGAUUAAUAUUUCUGCACCAUGUGCAAGUGCGAUGGGGGGACGGAGUGCGAAAGAUCAUCCGGGUGUUGGAUGUCCCGGUUUGCGAGUGUAGAAGGCCGACAGGCAAAUCCGUCGGCGGAUCUUCGAGACAAAGCAUCGAGGUUCUACGGAACCGAAGUGAUCGGAAGUGCUUCCAGGAAAAGCCUCUAAGCUUCAGCUUGUACAUGACCGUACCGUAAACCGACACUGGUGGGCGAGUUGAAUAUACUCAGGCGCUUGAGAGAACUCGGGAGAAGGAACUCGGCAAAUUGACACCGUAACUUCGGGAUAAGGUGUGCCUUUGUAGCGUGAAGAGAGAAACACUCGGAGCGUGAAGAGGCCUCAGAGAAUCGGUGGCUGCAACUGUUUAUUAAAAACACAGCACUCUGCAAAGACGAAAGUCGACGUAUAGGGUGUGAUGCCUGCCCGGUGCUGGAAGAUUAAGUGAUGGGGUGAGAGCUCCUGAUCGAAGUCCCAGUAAACGGCGGCCGUAACUAUAACGGUCCUAAGGUAGCGAAAUUCCUUGUCGGGUAAGUUCCGACCUGCACGAAUGGCAUAAUGAUGGCCACACUGUCUCCUCCCGAGACUCAGUGAAGUUGAAAUGUUUGUGAUGAUGCAAUCUCCCCGCGGCUAGACGGAAAGACCCCAUGAACCUUUACUGUAGCUUUGCAUUGGACUUUGAACCGAUUUGUGUAGGAUAGGCGGGAGGCAGAGAAAGCGCAACGCCAGUUGUGCCGGAGCCGACGUUGAAAUACCGCCCUGAUUUGUUUGAGGUUCUAACCGCGACCCGUAAGCCGGGUCCGGGACCGUGCAUGGCAGGCAGUUUGACUGGGGCGGUCUCCUCCUAAAGGGUAACGGAGGAGUACAAAGGUACGCUAGGUACGGUCGGAAAUCGUGCUGAUAGUGCAAAGGCAAAAGCGUGCUUGACUGCGAGACCGACAAGUCGAGCAGAUGCGAAAGCAGGUCUUAGUGAUCCGGUGGCUCUGUAUGGAAGGGCCAUCGCUCAACGGAUAAA
rnacentral:rRNA from 1 species